GCCUGGUGUCCUCCUUCAUCCCAGGCUGCCAGGCUAGGCAGGGGACAGCGGCUGCCCUGGUCCUCACAGCCCUGGCUACGGGGCUGGUGACAGCCAGAUCCUCAUGCUUCUGCGACCUGAGCGCUGCCUUCAGACACCUCUCUGCUGGCGUGUUCCUGGGUCCAUGAUGGAAGAAGGAAAAGUAUUUUUAAAAGACAAUCUGAAGCUCAUACUGUGACUGCAACAUAAAAUGUGUUCACCUGAGGAGACUGCUUUCAUCGCCAGUGUGUCACAGGGCAGCUGAUCCAGGACCGUCCACUUCCAAGCCAGCAGGAGGAUGGAAAAGCAGAAUGGAGGGGAAACAACCUCCUUUGCAGGGCGUGACUCGGAAGUUGGACACAUCAUUUCCAGCCACAUUCCAUGGACCAGAAUUAGCCCUGUGACCAACUCUGGCUGCCAGAAAAUCUGGGAAAUACAGUCUCUGCUUGGGCGAUCA
rnacentral:lncRNA from 1 species